rnacentral:lncRNA from 1 species
GAGGAAGUGAGCUGCCAUGUACUAGGCCACGUGGCAAGGGCCUGGUUGGGGACCUCCAGGGGUUGAGAGCAUCCUCUGGACAACAUGGAAAAAGAAAAUGAAAAUGGUGACCUCAGCCCUAUAGCUAGAAGGAAUUGAAUCCUGUCAACAACGAUACUCAUCACUCACUGCAGAUGUUACUUUAAGACAUUCUGGAGCAGCGUCAUGUGCAGGAGAAAAUAGUAUCAUCUCAGCCUUCUAUGAAAUCAAGGCAAUAUGUGCGUAGUGCCUCCGCCCAUCUCUCUCUUGCUCCUGGUCUCAUCGUGACGGGCCUGGUCCUGCCUCACUUUAUGCCACGACUAAGAGCUCCCUGAGGCCUCUCCAGAAGCAGAUAUCACUAUGCUUCCUACACAGCCUGCAGAACCGAACAAUAAGGAAGUGAGUGCUUUUGUAAUUCCUGAACAACUGUGUCUUACACUUACUAAGGGAUUCAUGGGCAAUAUGACUGAAUAGGAACAGCUCCAGUCUGAAGCUCCCAGUGAGACCAACAUAGAAGGCAAUCUGGGUGUUAUGAAAGAUGUAGACCAACAGAAACACUCAUACCUUUCUGGUGACAAUAAAACUUUGUACAUUUA